rnacentral:misc_RNA from 1 species
GAUGAAGAACGUAGUGAAAUGCGAUAAGUAAUGUGAAUUGCAGAAUUCAGUGAAUCAUCGAAUCUUUGAACGCACAUUGCGCCCAUCAGUAUUCUGUUGGGCAUGCCUGUCCGAGCGUCAUUUCAACCCUCAGGGCCCGUUCGCGGGAACUGGUGUUGGGGAUCGGCCUCCCCCCGGAGGCCGGCCCCGAAAUGCAGUGGUGGCUCUACCGCGAUCUCCUCUGUGUAGUAGCGAUACCUCGCAGCUGGAUAGUGGUGGUGCCACGCCGUAAAAUCCCAACUUUACCAAGGUUGACCUCGGAUCAGGUAGGAAUACCCGCUGAACUUAAGCAUAUCAAUAAGCGGAGGA